rnacentral:rRNA from 1 species
UACGGGGGGGGGCAAGCGUUGUUCGGAAUUACUGAGCGUAAAGGGCGCGUAGGCGGCUCGCUAAGUCGGAUGUGAAAACUCUGGGCUCAACCCAGAGCCUGCAUUCGAAACUGACGAGCUGGAGUUCUGGAGGGGAAAGCGGAAUUCCUGGUGUAGCGGUGAAAUGCGUAGAUAUCAGGAGGAACACCGGUGGCGAAGGCGGCUUUCUGGACAGAAACUGACGCUGAUGCGCGAAAGCUAGGGGGAGCAAACAGG